rnacentral:misc_RNA from 1 species
GAUGAAGAACGUAGUGAAAUGCGAUAAGUAAUGUGAAUUGCAGAAUUCAGUUAAUCAUCGAAUCUUUGAACGCAUCUUGCGCUCCUUGGUAUUCUGAGGAGCAUGCCUGUUUGAGUGUCAUUUCAAGUUCUCAACCACAUCAAUUUCAAUGUGGCUUGGAUGGUGGGGGUUCUUUUUGCAGGCUUCUGUAAAUAUGAAGUCGGCUCCCCUGAAAUGUAUUAGUGGUAUCUGAGCUACUACAGGUGUGAUAACUAUCUAUGCCUUGGUAUGCUGCAUGAAACAGAUUGCGCCGCUUCUAACAAGUGGGAAACACAAUUUUGAUGAAUUUGACCUCAAAUCAGGUAGGACUACCCGCUGAACUUAAGCAUAUCAAUAAGCGGAGGA